CAGCAUACCUGUAAAACAAAAGUGGCGCAUCUCAGAAGGACCUUGGUGGUGUCGCUGGAAUGUUGAUCAACAAGAAUGAUACCUGCAAGGUGUAACUGCGCUUUGCAUUCCCUGAAGUACAGUAGGUGCCCCAUAAACAUCUGAUGGCUGGAUGAAUUAGGGGCAAGUCGUAUAUCCUCAUCCAGAUAUGUGGGAAGUUCCGUGAAUACAUCUGCAAAUAUCUUAAGAUGAGAUGCUCCUCUCCCUGCUGGGAACCUGACUCUAGUGAAGGAAAGCUUGAAAGUGAACACCAACCGGGCUUAUCCUGGCCUCCUCUCUACCCAUGGUUUCGUGCCCCUGUGUCUGUCCCACUGCCAACGUGACCUGAAAUUGCUAGAGGAGGUGAGUGCUGAAGUCAGUAUCAUCAGAGCCAAGGACAUUGUCCUCUAGAGCCAAGUUCACCCCUUUACUUGGCAGGGCUUCUAAGAGAUGAGCUGCUGUCCAUCCCAUCAGUCCUCUACACCAGACCACCAGGAAGGACAGAUGCUCAGGUGCCACAGCCGCUGCCACCGUCCCCCAAGAUACCACGAACAGUCCCUUCACUGUUUCCAGCUGUGUCUGCCUCUGUGAGCUGCCCCCAA
rnacentral:lncRNA from 1 species